UACGAAGGGUGCAAGCGUUGUUCGGAAUUAUUGGGCGUAAAGCGCGCGUAGGCGGGUUUGUAUGUCGAUUGUGAAAUCCCCGGGCUCAACCUGGGAAUUGCAGUCGAAACUGCAAAUCUUGAAUGUUUGAGAGGAUGGCGGAAUUCCUGGUGUAGUAGUGAAAUACGUAGAUAUCAGGAGGAACACCGGAGGCGAAGGCGGCUAUCUGGCAAUACAUUGACGCUGAGGCGCGAAAGCGUGGGGAUCAAACAGG
rnacentral:rRNA from 1 species